AAGUCGUAACAAGGUUUCCGUAGGUGAACCUGCGGAAGGAUCAUUAUCGUAGGGGGCAUAGCCCCCGAAAGGAUGUAGACCAGCCAAAAUUGUAGUUUCAUACGGCAAUGAAAGGCAUCAAAGGAGCCUGUUCUGCGAAAUAGCUUACCCUUUUUUUAGCGGUGCAGGACACUACUAGUUGUUUAUUUCAUUGCGACCUCUCACUAAAGAUGCUUCUCUUGCUAGACGUGGCGUGCGUAGAAUCUAGCGUGAGGCGUAGAUGUGCAUCGUAAAGGGUAGUGCACCCCAGAACCUGGUUGGUGUCAAUCCCGAGAUGCUGCCUUCUUGGACGUGGUCAAGGGUGUUUCUCCCGCCAUACCCGGCAGGCGUAACGCCCGAGAUCACUCUUUAGAGCAAAUAUAGCUACAUGAUUGGCUGGUUUACACAGCUCAGUUACCCUUGUAUAUGAGUACUACUGUUUCCUCGGCAAGCCUGCUUGCCAAUGGGGACUUUCUCAAACCUUUUAUGUUGUUGUAACCGUAACCAAACAAAUAAUCAAAACUUUCAACAACGGAUCUCUUGUUCUGGCAUCGAUGAAGAACGCAGCGAAAUGCGAUAAGUAGUGUGAAUUGCAGAAUUCAGUGAAUCAUCGAAUCUUUGAACGCACAUUGCGCCCUGUGNAUUCCGCAGGGCAUGCCUGUUCGAGCGNCAUUUUACCCCCUCAAGCACUGCUUGUUGUUGGGCGUUUGUCCCACCUUUGGUAUGGACUCGCCUUGAAUAUAUUGGCAGCCAUCUCCCUGGCUUCGAGCGCAGCACCUUGCGUCCGGUACUUGGGGGUUGUGGCUCUCCAAAAGCACUCCUUUCGGUUGACCUCGGAUCAGGUAGGGAUACCCGCUGAACUUAAGCAUAUCAAUAAGCGGAGGAAAAGAAACCAACAGGGAUUGCCCUAGUAACGGCGAGUGAAGCGGCAACAGCUCAAAUUUGAAAUCUGGCUCCCUUGGGGGUCCGAGUUGUAAUUUGUAGAGGGUGCUUUGGUGUUAGCUGUGGUCUAAGUCCCUUGGAACAGGGCGUCACAGAGGGUGAGAAUCCCGUAUGUGGCCAGCAGCUUUCGCCUUGUAAAGCCCCUUCGACGAGUCGAGUUGUUUGGGAAUGCAGCUCUAAAUGGGAGGUAAAUUUCUUCUAAAGCUAAAUAUUGGCCAGAGACCGAUAGCGCACAAGUAGAGUGAUCGAAAGAUGAAAAGCACUUUGGAAAGAGAGUCAAAAAGCACGUGAAAUUGUUGAAAGGGAAGCGCUUGCAGCCAGACUUGCCCGUAGUUGCUCAUCCAGGCCUUGUGUCUGGUGCACUCUUCUGCGGGCAGGCCAGCAUCAGUUCAGGCGGUCGGAUAAAGGCUCUGGGAAUGUGGCUCCUCUCGGGGAGUGUUAUAGCCCAGGGUGCCAUGCGGCCAGCUUGGACUGAGGUCCGCGCUUCUGCUAGGAUGCUGGCGUAAUGGCUGUAAGCGGCC
rnacentral:rRNA from 1 species